GCGCGUCCUGGAGCGCCCGACGAAGUUGCUGGCUCUCAGCCUCCACUUCUCUACGCCUCUUCCUCAAAACUUCGGACUCCGCCUCCGCGUCUGCGACGGCCCACCGUUCAAGUGCCAGUUGGAUCUUCACUUGUUGCAGCUCGGCUGUCUUCUCCCCGAGGGAGAUAGAAAUCCCUUCAACAGUGCCUCUCAGGGCUUGGAGCUCUACAGAAUCUUGGGCGGAAGUAAGCUGCGCCCUGUUAGCCAGCUGCCUCUAGAGAUGAACGACUUCGUCGGCUGCCAUCCGG
rnacentral:lncRNA from 1 species